rnacentral:rRNA from 1 species
GUGCACCAGGCGAGAAUUUUUCACAAUGGGGGAAACCCUGAUGGAGCGACGCCGCGUGGAGGAUGAAGGCGUUUUCGUCGUAAACUCCUGUCAAACGGGAACAAGAAAGUGAUAGUACCGUUAGAGGAAGAGGCGGCUAACUCUGUGCCAGCAGCCGCGGUAAUACAGAGGCCUCAAGCGUUGUUCGGAUUCAUUGGGCGUAAAGGGUGCGUAGGUGGCUUGGUAAGUUGAAGGUGAAAUCUCGGGGCUUAACUCCGAAACUGCCUUCAAUACUGCCGAGCUCGAGGAUUGUAGAGGAGAAUGGAAUUCACGGUGUAGCAGUGAAAUGCGUAGAUAUCGUGAGGAAGACCAGUGGCGAAGGCGAUUCUCUGGGCAAUUCCUGACACUGAGGCACGAAGGCUAGGGGAGCAAACGGGAUUAGAUACCCCUGUAGU